rnacentral:rRNA from 1 species
CAAUAGCGUAUAUUUAAGUUGUUGCAGUUAAAAAGCUCGUAGUUGGAUUUCGGAUGGGACUUGCCGGUCCGUCGUUUCGAUGUGCACUGGCCAGUCCUAUCUUGUUGUCGGGGACUAGCUCCUGGGCUUCACUGUCCGGGACUAGGAGCUGACGAGGUUACUUUGAGUAAAUUAGAGUGUUCAAAGCAAGCCUACGCUCUGAAUACAUUAGCAUGGAAUAACACGAUAGGACUCUGGCUUAUCUUGUUGGUCUGUGAGACCAGAGUAAUGAUUAAGAGGGACAGUCGGGGGCAUUCGUAUUUCAUUGUUAGAGGUGAAAUUCUUGGAUUUAUGAAAGACGAACUUCUGCGAAAGCAUUUGUCAAGGAUGUUUUCAUUAA